rnacentral:rRNA from 1 species
UGGGGAAUAUUGGACAAUGGGCGAAAGCCUGAUCCAGCAAUACCGCGUGAGUGAUGAAGGCCUUAGGGUUGUAAAGCUCUUUUAGUAGGGAAGAUAAUGACGGUACCUACAGAAAAAGCCCCGGCUAACUCCGUGCCAGCAGCCGCGGUAAGACGGAGGGGGCUAGCGUUGUUCGGAAUUACUGGGCGUAAAGAGCGCGUAGGCGGUUUAGUAAGUUGGGAGUGAAAGCCCGGGGCUUAACCUCGGAAUUGCUCUCAAAACUGCUAGGCUAGAGUAUGGUAGGGGAUGGUAGAAUUUCUAGUGUAGAGGUGGAAUUCUUAGAUAUUAGAAGGAAUACCGGUGGCGAAGGCGGCCAUCUGGACCAUUACUGACGCUGAGGCGCGAAAGCGUGGGGAGCAAA